GUUAGGAAUAUUGGACAAUGGGCGAAAGCCUGAUCCAGCCAUGCCGCGUGAACGAUGAAGGCCUUCGGGUUGUAAAGUUCUUUAGCCGAUGAUUAUAAUGACUGUAGUCGGAAAAUAAGCCCCGGCUAACUUCGUGCCAGCAGCCGCGGUAAUACGAAGGGGGCGAGCGUUAUUCGGAAUCACUGGGCGUAAAGCGUGCGUAGGCGGUUUGGUAAGUUAGGAGUGAAAGCCCAGGGCUCAACCUUGGAAUUGCUCUUAAAACUGCAAGGCUCGAAUCUCGGAGAGGAUAGCGGAAUUUCCAGUGUAGCAGUGAAAUGCGUAGAUAUUGGAAGGAACACCAGUGGCGUAAGCGGCUAUCUGGACGAGUAUUGACGCUGAGGCACGAAAGCGUGGGGAUCAAACAGGAUUAGAAACCCUGGUAGUCC
rnacentral:rRNA from 1 species